CCCAGAUAAACCAGAGUCAUAGCAGGAGCGUUUGUUGCAGCUCCUACCAGAUUCUCUGAAUCUGCGAAUCCUGCU
rnacentral:ribozyme from 1 species